rnacentral:rRNA from 1 species
UACGUAGGGACCAAGCGUUGUCCGGAAUCAUUGGGCGUAAAGAGCGUGUAGGCGGCUUGUUAAGUCUUGCGUGAAAUCUCGGGGCUCAACCCCGAGCGGUCGUGAGAAACUGGCAGGCUAGAGUGCGGGAGAGGAGAGUGGAAUUCCUGGUGUAGCGGUGAAAUGCGCAGAUAUCAGGAGGAACACCGGUGGCGAAGGCGGGACUCUGGGCCGAUACUGACGCUGAGGAGCGAAAGCGUGGGGAGCGAACAGG